AUAUCUCUCCGUACGGGAAGGAUGAGAAGCUUCGACUAAGGUUCGAUUCGAGCGCAGCGAGAACGCGUUGCC
rnacentral:sRNA from 2 species